GAUGCGUGCUAGACGGCCGCGGCGGGAGAGACAACUCGUCGAGGAAAGUCCGGACAUCACAGGGCGCGGUGGUCGGGAGACCGACCCGGGGAAACCCGCGGGAAAGUGCCACAGAAAUACACCGCCGAUGGCGCAGCUUCACGUGGGCUGCGCACAGGCAAGGGUGAAAUGGUGCGGUAAGAGCGCACCGGCGUCGCGGUGACGCGGCGGCCAGGUAAACCCCACCGGAUGCAAGGCCAAGCAGGACCGUUCGCAGGCUGCCCGCCGAGGUCCAGGUAGGCCGCAUAGAUGGAUGGCCGUUCACGACAGAAUCCGGCUUAUCGGCACGCUACGGAG
rnacentral:RNase_P_RNA from 1 species